rnacentral:tRNA from 1 species
GGACGCGUGGUGUAGCGGAAACAUCGUGGCCUUCGGAGCCACGGCCGGGGGUUCGAUUCCCUCCGCGUCUA